UAUCUGGCUCAGGACGAACGCUGGCGGCGUGCCUAAUACAUGCAAGUCGAACGGUCUUUCUAUGGAAGCUUGCUUCCACUGAGAAGAUAGUGGCGAACGGGUGAGUAACACGUGGGUAACCUGCCCAUAAGAGGGGGAUAACAUCCGGAAACGGGUGCUAAUACCGCAUAGUUUUCUUGAUCGCAUGAUCGGGAAAGGAAAGACGGCCUUUGUGCUGUCGCUUAUGGAUGGACCCGCGGCGUAUUAGUUAGUUGGUGAGGUAACGGCUCACCAAGACGAUGAUACGUAGCCGACCUGAGAGGGUGAUCGGCCACAUUGGGACUGAGACACGGCCCAAACUCCUACGGGAGGCAGCAGUAGGGAAUCUUCCGCAAUGGACGAAAGUCUGACGGAGCAACGCCGCGUGAGUGAAAGAAGGUUUUCGGAUCGUAAAACUCUGUUGUCAGAGAAGAACAAGUUGGAGAGUAACUGCUCCAGCCUUGACGGUAUCUGACCAGAAAGCCACGGCUAACUACGUGCCAGCCGCCGC
rnacentral:rRNA from 1 species